ACCGGAUCCCGGGGCAGUAACGUAAGCCCACGAUUUUGCUAAUCUAUCGAAUCCUCGAGGCGAGCGUCAUGAUGGGUCAGGGCACGCACCGACGUGGUGCGUCGCAGGGAAGAGGGGUAUGAUCAAGCACGCUCAGGCGGGCUGGUUGGUCGAUAAUCUCUGCACCGCCGUGCUGCUGUUCGAUCACGAGGCCAGACUUACGCUCAUCAACGCCGCCGGCGAGCAUCUCUUGUCGGCGAGCGCGCGCAAGGUGCUCGGGCGCGGCCCCGACGAACUGUUUCGGGCCACCGCGCUCGCCACCGCCCUACAGCGCGUCCAGGCCAGUGGACAGGCGGUGACCGAAUGGGGUGUGGACCUUACCACCCCCUGGGGCACGAGGAUCUCACUCGAUUUCACGGCC
rnacentral:misc_RNA from 1 species